rnacentral:rRNA from 1 species
UCCAGACUCCUACGGGAGGCAGCAGUGGGGAAUAUUGCACAAUGGGGGGAACCCUGAUGCAGCGACGCCGCGUGGGUGAAGAAGUAUUUCGGUAUGUAAAGCCCUAUCAGCAGGGAAGAAAAAUGACGGUACCUGACUAAGAAGCACCGGCUAAAUACGUGCCAGCAGCCGCGGUAAUACGGAAGGUCCGGGCGUUAUCCGGAUUUAUUGGGUUUAAAAGGAGCGUAGGCCGGUCUUUAAGCGUGCCGUGAAAUUUUGUGGCUCAACCAUGAGAGUGCGGCGCGAACUGGAGACCUUGAGUGCGCGGAAGGCAGGCGGGAUUCGUGGUGUAGCGGUGAAAUGCUUAGAUAUCGCGAAGAACCCCGAUUGCGAAGGCAGCCUGCCGCAGCGUUACUGACGCUGAAGCUCGAAAGCGCGGGUAUCGAACAGGAUUAGAUACCCCAGUAA